ensembl:lncRNA
UGUUCCAUAAAACUGCUUGAAAUACAGUGGCAGGUGAUAUCAUCUACAAACUUCUGUGACGCAAAAGGCAAUAAAUUAGUCAGGAGGAAGCAAAUAAUCACUACUCAGAAAUAAUAAGAUCACACAGAAAUAACAAAAUGCAACAGACAUUUAUUGGUGAAGAAGUAAAAAGUCUUAAUUACAUAUUCAUAGAAUAAUAUUACUAUAAUGCAGCAAAGCCUGCAUUUUUCCAACUGUGUGUCACAGCCUCAACAUACCAUUCCUAGGACCCUCCAAACCACAUCUCCGAAAUGUUUUAUUACAACAUGGGUUUAAGCUGCAGGCUAAUUUGAACUGAUUGCUAUUUUCCAUCUUUCCAUCUAAUUUUUUUUUGUAGUUGUAUCAUACCAUCACCACAAUGUUCUAAAACAUAACUACCACCAUCACUUUAACCAGCAUAAAGAGUAAGAACAUCAGCGGCUUCAAGUUCUAAAUGUAAUUAUUUCAGUAUGUCUGAACAACAUUUUUUAAGUUCAUUGAAAACGUUAGCGGUCAACCUUACAACCUUUGCCACCUGAUAGAUGUCCUGCUGAUAUUUUGUUAUUGGAAACUGAAACCUACGGAAGUGACGGCGACGAAAUUAUAGCUAUUGUUUUUGGUGUCAAAUAAACUAAAUAAAGUCUUACUGUUUCUGAAUUGUUAUAUAUAGACUGAUUGUACAUUUAUUUAGCCGUACCUUUCACUUGCCUCCCAUCCGUAAAACAGAACGCCCCCCGGGCAGUUGCUAUGACAACGGAGAAACGAUUCCCUCGAAUUUCCUCUCGUCUUCCCUCUGGUUCCUUGGCAACACAAAACACAAGUUGGACUCAGAAGAACACCCAAUCUUAAAAACCUUUAUUGCUCUCUUGUUCGUGUGCACAUAACAAUUAUUUCAGGAAGACAUAAACUGUAACUGCUGCGUUUGAUACAUUUCUGGAUUUCAGUUCUCUCUGAAGGAUCAUACUUAUUUUAUACUUCUUUAAGAUAUAAGUUGCAACGCCUUCAAAAAUGGAGACUCUUCCUUUUAUAAAUAAUGACGACCCUCGUCUGAAUUUGAAAGUGGAGAAUAGAAUGAAAAACAUUUUUGUGACGCAAUUUUUGGAGACCAGAGAUGAAGAAGAAAAUGUCAAUCAUAUUCCUGUUAUAACAGAGACUGCUAGCAGAGUCCUGGAGACAGGAGUGAACACAUUACAAAGGACCCUUGUCCUAAAGAAGCAGGUGGAGGUUGAUGAAGUGGAUAGGCAGCUGGCAAAAAAACAGCAAGAAUUCAAAGUCCACAUGCAUGCUCUUGCACAGAGGAGAGCAGAGCUUGAGCUGAAACAGCAGGCGAUGAAUGAUAGAGCAAAGAAAUUUGAAAAGUUUGUUGAGGACAAUGAGGUGAAGCGCCAUCGGUCCCUGAGGAAGUACCAAGCAGCGAGGAAGCAUAAUGAUCUGAAGCAGAAAGAGAAAGAGCAACUCACAGAACAGCUGGAGAAACUGCAGACCAGGCAGCAGUAUCUUAAAGAUAGAGUGACUAAAUACAAGAUGUACGAAGACUACAUGAUGAACAUUUUAGAUUUCCUUCCAGAAAAUUAUCUGGAGUAUGGGGCAGACUCCCUGGUGAUGCCCAUCAUCCGGCGCCAUGAGACCUUGUCCCUAACCCAUCAGGAUUUGGUGGAGCGGCUGGGCCAGUUAGUGGGGGAGCUGGAGCAGGGCCAGCGCAGCUUGGAAAGCCUAAAGCAGGAGCACAACACCAAUAAGCUGAUGAUGAACAGACAGCUGUCCGAACUUCAGACUCAGUGGGACAGAGCCAAGGAAAAGAACAAACAGACUGAGAUGAACUUGUUGAUGCACCAAGGCCAGUCCAGAGACCAGGUUGAGGAAGUGGGUAGCCUGCUGAUAGCUGUGAAGAACCUUGCUGAGCAGUGCUACUUACAACAUUAUGGGCCUCUGGAAAAGAUAGAUAUGCUGACAAUGAUGGACAUGGUAAAGGAAUACAUUCUGGAAAGGACAGACAUAGAGAAGAGAGCUACACAACUGAUAGAGUCAGGCUCUACAUUGACGAGUGCCACACAGCACAGAAGAUCCCUUAACAUUAACACCAAAACACAAGUAAAGAGCAUCAGCAAGACGAGUGGGAGCUGUGGAUUGUCUAGCUGAUUAAUGCUAAAUAGGCCUUUUACAAGUUUGUGGGGAAACAUUUCACACACAUAUGAAUAAAACCAUGCAGGUGUGGCCUAUUGGACACACAUACGUACACACACAGUCAAGGGAGAAAGUGCAAUAUGUUAAUUUUAACUUUGUAAUAUGGUGGUUAUAAUAAUACAGUUUAUGGUAAUGAAAUCACUGUUGUAUGUUAUAGUUUUGUUUUUUGUUACUUUGCAGUUGGACAAGCAUUUCUCACUGCCUUCAUUUAAGAUGUAUUAUUCAUAUAUUUGCUUUAUUUUAUUUAUUUAAAAUGUUUUUUAA